rnacentral:tRNA from 1 species
UGGGAUUGUAGUUCAAUCUGUCAGAGCACCGCCCUGUCAAGGCAGAAGCUGCAGGUUCGAGCCUUGUCAGUCCCGA